GUCGAGCGGUAAGGCCCUUCGGGGUACACGAGCGGCGAACGGGUGAGUAACACGUGGGUGAUCUGCCCUGCACUUCGGGAUAAGCCUGGGAAACUGGGUCUAAUACCGGAUAUGACCUCCGAUCGCAUGGUUGGUGGUGGAAAGAUUUAUCGGUGCAGGAUGGGCCCGCGGCCUAUCAGCUUGUUGGUGGGGUAAUGGCCUACCAAGGCGACGACGGGUAGCCGACCUGAGAGGGUGACCGGCCACACUGGGACUGAGACACGGCCCAGACUCCUACGGGAGGCAGCAGUGGGGAAUAUUGCACAAUGGGCGAAAGCCUGAUGCAGCGACGCCGCGUGAGGGACGACGGCCUUCGGGUUGUAAACCUCUUUCAGCAGGGACGAAGCGCAAGUGACGGUACCUGCAGAAGAAGCACCGGCUAACUACGUGCCAGCAGCCGCGGUAAUACGUAGGGUGCAAGCGUUGUCCGGAAUUACUGGGCGUAAAGAGUUCGUAGGCGGUUUGUCACGUCGUUUGUGAAAACUCACAGCUCAACUGUGAGCCUGCAGGCGAUACGGGCAGACUUGAGUACUGCAGGGGAGACUGGAAUUCCUGGUGUAGCGGUGAAAUGCGCAGAUAUCAGGAGGAACACCGGUGGCGAAGGCGGGUCUCUGGGCAGUAACUGACGCUGAGGAACGAAAGCGUGGGUAGCGAACAGGAUUAGAUACCCUGGUAGUCCACGCCGUAAACGGUGGGCGCUAGGUGUGGGUUCCUUCCACGGAAUCCGUGCCGUAGCUAACGCAUUAAGCGCCCCG
rnacentral:rRNA from 1 species